AGUGAACGCUGGCGGUAGGCCUAACACAUGCAAGUCGAACGGCAGCACAGUAAGAGCUUGCUCUUACGGGUGGCGAGUGGCGGACGGGUGAGGAAUACAUCGGAAUCUACUUUUUCGUGGGGGAUAACGUAGGGAAACUUACGCUAAUACCGCAUACGACCUACGGGUGAAAGCAGGGGAUCUUCGGACCUUGCGCGAUUGAAUGAGCCGAUGUCGGAUUAGCUAGUUGGCGGGGUAAAGGCCCACCAAGGCGACGAUCCGUAGCUGGUCUGAGAGGAUGAUAAGCCACACUGGAACUGAGACACGGUCCAGACUCCUACGGGAGGGAGCAGUGGGGAAUAUUGGACAAUGGGCGCAAGCCUGAUCCAGCCAUACCGCGUGGGUGAAGAAGGCCUUCGGGUUGUAAAGCCCUUUUGUUGGGAAAGAAAGGCAGCAGGUUAAUACCCCGCUGUUCUGACGGUACCCAAAGAAUAAGCACCGGCUAACUUCGUG
rnacentral:rRNA from 1 species